UUCACCUGUGCGUGCACUUCCGCUUUUCUGCUGAAGUUGCAUAAUAAUGGCUCAUCUGUCUCUUCACCGAUUCUUACUGCAAUUACGUUUUUUCGCUUAUAAACUGUUCGACGUUGUAAAUAAUCUCUGCUUACCAGGUUUUCGGUUUACGAGCAGUUUGAGGAGAAAACGAAAAUUGGUGAGACCGUGACCCUCUAGCAGUGUCCACAUAAUGGCAGGGAAAUGCAGGGAUCCCGCAGCCAUGGCUACAGCAGCACGGCGUGUAAUCUGGAUGUCAUGUCAGGGUACACGUGCACUCACUUCAAGACGACGACCCUCCACCUCAAAAACAGCCUCUCCUCAAAGACUAGCAGGGAGACUAAAUGAAAGGAAAAUACCACAUCCGUAACCAGACACAUACUAUGUGUUCCCUACAUUUAACCUCCUUCUCUCUUUAAGGAAGCGUGGUAUAUGCGCAAUAAAUGUUUUUAUCAACUUUU